rnacentral:lncRNA from 1 species
AAAAAAUUAUUCGUAGUUAUAAAUAUAUGAACCUUCAAUGAAGUGGACCAAGCCAUCAAAUUAAAGAAAAAAAAAAUCUAAGCAAAAUUUUUUUUGUGAUCUUUAAUAAUUAGGAGCUUCUUAACCGGGAGCUUCAGUGGGGCUCACAUUUUUGAAAUAGGCGGCAGUGAGAUAGAAGCAUCGGACGUAUCUGCAAAAUCUAAGCAAAAUCUAAGCAAAAUCUCACCUUCAAUGAAGCUCACUGUAGUUUUAAGUUUGCGG